CAAACAGAGCUUAGUCAUUUCAGGACGAGAUCGUUUUCAAACUGAGUUCAGAUCAGGACAGCCUGAAGCUUUGUUCCAAAGAUAUAGACUAUUUUUACUUUGGUUAUUCUUACUUUGGUUAGGAACACGGCGUCAAAACCCCAAAAGAAGCAAAAACAACCACAACACAUUUAAUAAUAAUAAUAAUAAUAAUAAUAAAGCAUAAACAGUAACUGAGUCAUCUAUCAACUCACUGCUGUUAUAGUAAAUAUUAGGCAACAUGAAUAAAGCAAAUAACGUUUCUGCGGGCACAUGAAUCUGUCAAACAACAAAAUGUCAAACAAAUACAAGUUCAAUGUUAGAACGUGUCUGCUUCAGCUACAUUAAUGCACAAUCCUUUCUGCUGGGUUGUGUGGACUUGCGUUUGUAUUUUAGAACAUAGUUGCUGUGAAACAAUCGCAA